CGGCAUGCCUAAGACAUGCAAGUCGUACGAAGCGGCCCACUGAAGUCUGAGUGCUUGCACAAAGAUGGACGUGGAUCACCGCUUAGUGGCAAACGGGUGAGUAACACGUGGGUUACCUGCCUCUAAGUUGGGGAUAACAGUUGGAAACGACUGGUAAUACCGAAUGUGCUCUACGGAGUAAAGAAGCCCUUAAAGCUUCGCUUAGAGAUGGGCCUGCGGCGCAUUAGCUAGUUGGUGAGGUAAUGGCCCACCAAGGCAACGAUGCGUAGCCGAACUGAGAGGUUGAUCGGCCACAUUGGGACUGAGACACGGCCCAGACUCCUACGGGAGACAGCAGUUAGGAAUAUUCGUCAAUGGGGGAAACCCUGAACGAGCAAUGCCGCGUGAGUGAUGACGGUCCUCUGGAUUGUAAAACUCUGUUGUUUAGGAAAAAUUGUACUGAUAGGAAAUGAUCAGUGCUUGAUGGUACUAUUCAAGAAAGCCACGGCUAACUACGUG
rnacentral:rRNA from 1 species